GGGCACCCACCUAAACCAGCAAUAGAUGAGUCCACUGUGCUAAUCCCCAUCUGGAGGGAAACCAAAAUAUUUGGAAGAGAUUGCCCAUAUGUAUCAUGAAAGUGGACAGCAAGCUUCUUAACAGGAACAACAGCCAUUACAGCUUCAAGCAUGGGAAUUACAGUCCCACAUGUACCAACACCAAUUGUAUCACCGAGAGAAAUUUCAAAGCAAUCCAUGUCAUAAAGUUCCUUUGCCACAUAUGCCACUUUUGAAGGAGAAAUUGCUCCCUCCACAGGACAUCCAACAACGCAUGAUACAUACCCACGAACAGGAAUUCCAAGCUCUUUAGCAGCACGAGUAACAGCACGAUAACGAGCAAGACUCUCUUCAAUGCUACAAUUUAUGUUUGACUUCGAAAAUGACUCAGAAGCUGAUGCAAAAACUGCUACUUCCUUAGCACCAGCAGCAACAGCUGCUUCAAAUCCUUUUAGAUUAGGUGUCAGAACAGGCAGUCUAGAGCCCUCCAAACUUUGAACUGCUUUCAUCACAUCUCUUGCAUCUGCUAACUGAGGAACCCAUUUGGGUGAUACAAAACUUGUAGCCUCAACAACUGGCAACCCAGAAGAGACUAGUCUGCGAAUCAAUUCAAUCUUUACAUCUGUAGGUACAAUAUUUUUCUCAUUUUGUAGUCCAUCUCUUGGACCAACUUCUACUAUCUUCACAAACUUUGGU
rnacentral:misc_RNA from 1 species